rnacentral:lncRNA from 1 species
AUGAAUGUUAAAUCUACCAAAAAUAAAAUUUUUACACCUAAAAUCAAAAUUAAAUUUGUGGUAUAAAUACUAUGGCCAAUCCCACAAGAACUAUUCUAUCCAAAUUUGCAUUUCAUUAUAACUAGAACAUGUCGUAGGCAAUUUUUGUGUCCACAACUCGUGAAACCUGUACAAAAAACAAAGGGGAUUAAAUAUGAAAAACAAAAAAUAAAGAAAAUUAAAUGAAAAUAAAAAUGUAAUCAAAAUAUACAAAUUGAAAUUGAAUAUAAAUAAAUUAACUAAAUGAAAACUAUAGCCUCAAGCACGAUUUUGACUUUGACCUUGAAUGAUCCCGAACAAUGAAUUUUCUCCUACUACCGAUAAAUUGAUUUUAGUGAUCGAGGAACAGUCUCAAACCACCAACCCUUCUGUAUGUAAAUUAAUUGCAGGAACAACUCAAAUGAUAACCCUUACCAAUCAAAUAACAUUAAAGGCAACUUCUACAAUUUAAUUUUGAGACGGUCUUGUGAACUAGGACUCAGCUCAAAUUAAUGACCUCAAGUGAGCGGAUUGUUUAAACUUGAUUGUUAAUUCUCUUUACAUAUUCAACUAUUUAUUCAAUUAGUGACGUCAAUUUAUUUUUUAGUGGAUUGAUAAUUACGAAUUGUAUCGAUUCACCGAGUGUAUAUCGUCUACCCUUUUUAAUUAAGAAUUAACGAAUAUCGAAGCAGAGAAUACAAAUGGGAUCUCCAACAUCGAAUAAAUAAUUUACCUUAAGCUAGAUUAAAUCUAACUAAAGAACAAGAAAGGAAAAUAAUUAAAAGUAAUUAAAGCUAAACAAGAACAAUCAUUGGUGUGUAGUGUAGUGUAUGCUGCCGCCCCUUUUCACUGCCUAAUACAUCUAUAUAUAAUAAUAAUAAAAAAUAAAAAUAAAACUUUGUUGAGAUAAUUAAUCCUAAACCUCAAAUACGAAUUAUAAAACAAAAAUAAAACUAAAGAUGAUGCUGCCUCUCCCCGUACUAAAAAUAUCUCAUAAAUAAACAAAUAAAGACAAUACUCUUUACUUUAAAAAAAAAAUCUAUCUAAUAACACAACAUCUAUACAAAUAUUUUAAAAAUUCACACAAAUUUUUCUCUAAUACAAGACAUUUCAUCAACUGUUUUAAAAAUGAAUUAAUUGCGUUAAAUAAAAUUACCUUGUAAUCAAGGCAAUUAAGUAUAAUAUUUUGUUAUGUUGAACCUUAAAUGGGUACAAUAUUUUAAAAACAUUAGAAACUUAAACAUACACCAUUUUUGUAUGGCACAAUAUAUACUUAAUUUAUACCCUAUUUUUAUGUUCUUUCCAAAAGAACCGAAGCUUAUUAUUGUAAUUUAAUAAAUUAAAAAUGGACGACGCCUUAAUCAUAACCAAUUUUUUCUUCAACGUCACAUCCAAACCGGCAUUAAAAAAAGAGAGGAAAGAGUAUCACUUUUUAUAAUUAAAUAUUCAACAAAUUAUUUUAAGUAAUUUAUUGUUUUUCCUUAAAGAACUAAUUAAUUAUUUAUUAUGUAAAAUCUUUUGAUGGUAAUAAUAUUAUUCAUAUAUUAUGACCAUAACCAUUUAAAAUUGACUAUAUAUUAAUGUGUGAAUCAAAUUCGGAAUCAUUUUAAAGUAAAAACCUAAAAUAAGAUCAUUCUUGAAUGGACUGAAUUUGGAUUUAAAUCAAACUCUAAGCAAAUAUACAAUAGAACUAUUUUAAUUUUUUUUUAAAAAAAGUUAUGUAUAGAUUAAAAAUAUGCCUACUAAAUUUAUGAUAAUUUAUCAAAAUUAAUUAUUUUAAAUAAAUUAUUAUUUAAUUUGAAAAAAGAGCUUAUUUAAAUUUAUAUUAGAUUUGUAAUUUUGUUUAAGUGGCAAUUGAGAUAAUAAUCCUAAAAAUAAAUAGAAUAUGGAUUUCAAUCUAUUUGAAAAUAGAUGCAUGGACAAAAAUUGUCUAAAUACUUCAUUCAAAAUAAAAAUUAAUACUUUUAGCUCCUCUGCAAUUAAUUGAAAAAUUGAAAUCGAUUUUUGUCGAUUUUGAAUAUGCAAUAUUUUAAUGUUUAAAGGUUUAAUUUAAAAAUUUAAAUUUAAUUGAUAACUCAUAUUUAAAUUUAUAGACUUAACUUAAUAAUGUUAUCAAUUUAACUUUAAUUUUUAAAUAAAAAAAGUAGAUGGAUGAAAUUCUUAAAACUAAAAGCAAGUAGAGGGACUUAAUCCAAAAGUUAAAAAAGAAAAGGGACUGAGGGAUAAUUAUACCUUUUUCCCUCCGUUACUUUCUCUAAAAAAAAAAAAAACCCAGCUGCUUACGUUUUAAUAUAUAGUUAUAGAUUAUUACUAUUAUUUUAUGAUAAGAGCUCCUUUUUGACCCAUUGGAUCAACAUAUGUAAACGGAUAAUAACAAUAACAAUAACCAAACGACGCCGCACAAUAGCAACAAAGGGAUAAAAUCGAGAAAACAGAAAAGGGCAGUCGAAUACUUUCUAUUAAAAUUCUUAUGCUAUUACUGAUUCAUCAUGGCUAAUUUUUAAUCAUCACUUGUUUUUCUAUCAAUUUGUAAUGGAUGGUCUCCCGAUUGUGCUGAAUUUACACUCAUUUCAUCAUUUUUACUCUUUUUUAUUUUGUUAUCUUUUUUGCUAUAAAGAAUUGAGUAUAUAUUUUUAUAAGAAAUUAAAAUAUAAUUUUAUUAUUGUAUAAAAUAUCUUUUAUAUUUUAAUCCGAAAUUUAGGUUGUUAGCUACAGGUAAAGUUGACGACGGUUUGGUAAAUAUGGUUCAAAGUUGGUCAAAUGAAAUGGACUAACCAUAUUCCAUUUAUUCUCUAAACCCCUUUCAGAUUCAUUUGUUAUAUUGCUUCCUAUUUUCUAUGAUUCUUUAGCUGGUUUGUUUAUAGUUCACUAGGCUUCGGUUUUUAAUGAAAGAAAUCUAUGGCAGUUUUAAUGCUAUGGGAUUGCAAGAGAAUCUUCUUAGAGGCAUAUAUGCUUAUGGUAACUCGGUCUUAUUGCUACUACUUUGUUGGUCAAUUACUGGGAAUUCAAAUUCGGCUGCUUUGAAUUUAGGUUUUUAACUUACAUGUAAAGGUUUUUUUUAUGCUCUUCAUUUCUUUGUAUUUAUCACGAACCUACUCUUUUACAUGCCUAGUACUGUACUGAAAGCUGCUUGCUAAGUCAUAUGUUUCAGUAAAGGGUUUGAGAAGCAAUCUGCAAUUCAGCAAAGGGGGAUUGUACCAUUUUCAAGGGACUUGAUGUGAUUCAACAAGCACAGUCCGGAACAGGAAACACAACAACUCUAUGCUCUGGAGUUCUACAGCAAAUUAGCACAACAAAUCAUCAGGCUUUAGGUGAUUACGUACCUUGGUGUUAAGGUUCAUGUUUGCGUAGGUGACCAGUAUCUACGACGACCUACAGAUUCUCUCCAGUGGGGUUCACCUAGCCGUGUGCUCAAGAAAGUUAAGAC